AUUGAACGCUGGCGGCAGGCCUAACACAUGCAAGUCGAACGAGUGGCGGCCGGGUGAGUAAUGUCUGGGAAACUGCCUGAUGGAGGAGGAUAACUGCUGGAAACGGUAGCUAAUACCGCAUACCAUGAGAUGUGCCCAGAUUGGAUGAGCUAGUUGGUGUGGUAACGGCUCACCAAGGCGACGAUCCCUAGCUGGUCUGAGAUGAGUACCAGCCACACGGGAACUACAACACAGUCCAGCCUCCUACGGGAGGCAGCAGUGUGGCAUAUUUCACAAUCGGCACAAGUCUGAUACAGCCUUGACGCGUGUAUGAAGAAGGCCUUCGGGUUGUACAGUAGUUUCAGCGCGGAGGCGUUACCCGCAGAAGAAGCACCUGCUUACUCCGUGCCAGCAGCCGCGGUAAUAC
rnacentral:rRNA from 1 species